ensembl:lncRNA
GCGCUCUCUGUGGGUCUCACUGUUUUGAGUGUGUGAGGCGCGCUCUGAGUGUGUUUCUGUGGGGGAAGCGUGAAACACAGUGACAGUGACGGUUGAUGUGUUUGAAUAGGAGGACACUAGUGCGAAGAGGAUGCUUUAAGAUCUAAGGUUGACGCCUAGUGUACCUGUGGAAAAUAAUUUUGUCCUAGGAGUGGCAACCCUCCUGUUCGUGGACGCGCGGGCAGGCCCGGCGGCGUCCGGAUGCCGAGGUGGUGACUUGGGGAGGUGAGGACCCCCGCAUAGCUACAGAAUAACACUGGAACGACCGUGUAAUCACGGGUUCACAUUUAUUCUGGAAUAGAACAAGAGAAUGCUUUUACAUCUAAGGUUGAGUUCUAUCAUAGGUGAAAUAUAAAAAGGUUGAAUUCCUCGUUUCAGUGGUUGAAAUUGUUGUGUGCAUGUCCCCUGACGAGUGUGAAAUUAAAUAAAGAGGGAAUUUGGAGCCACAUAGAGAUAGACGGGCAUAAUUGGGUGUAUUACUCUGUGGUGUAAUAAAAAAAAUAAAAAAAUAAAAAAGAGAGAUAGUAAGAGGUGUGUAGUGGGGAAUUAUGGAGGAGUAGAGAGAGGAAUGUGUUGGGAGACUGGCGUGCAGUUUACGUUGUCAAGGUAGGCGUGUUGCCUGCUUAUCUGUCUAACAGUGAUGAAAAUGAAAUUAAAUAAAUCUCUUAGUGUGUUAAUACAGGAAGCUGCGGACCUGGACCAACUGCCCCCACAAGCACAGCGGCCGAAGCAAAAUUAUAAGUAAUGGGAGCCACACCCAGUAAGAAUCAGCAGCUGUGAAAAAGACAGCAGCGAGGAGAGAAUUAGAGGAGAAAUUAAGAGAAGUUUUAACACAUAAAAUUGGGGCCAACGGACUUGUGGAGGUUGGGAAGGCGUCCGGAGCAUCACAACAAAAAGGUGAAACAAAAACAUACACAAGCAGAGAAAUCUGAGAGAAAGGCUCCUUUUAAGGUAACGCCUAGUUUGAGAAAAAGAUCAAAUUAACCUGCCUGCCUACAAAUGCACACACACGCAAUGAAGAAACAGCUUACACUCAUGAACAUGUGAAGAUUUUCCAGCAAGGCUAAAGCAGCGAAACUUAACAUACACCUGUUGUUAAAGGAUAAAUACAUUACUGACAAAUAAACUCUCUGGGUUGCAGGACAACAAUUUAACUUCAAAGAAAAAGACACUGGUCUGACCAACCAGUGAAGACACGACAAAUUUAGGGGUUAAAAGAUUCAAAUUGUGACAUGUUUUCUGCUGAUUGAUUAAUACAAGUGAUUACUGAAUGAAAGAAAAGUCCAUUUUUGGGCUUUUAAACAUGAUCUUAAGAAUUUUAAUAUGUACCUGUGUUGUCCUGUCAGCUUGGCGGGUCAUGAGUUGAUUAUAGGGUGAGAAAAAAAAAAAAAAAAAAAGGGGGAGAGAAGGCUGACACAGGGCCUGGUCCCGGUGUUUCUCCCCUCUCUUUGUAAUACAGCCAACACAACAUC